rnacentral:rRNA from 1 species
AUGGAAGAAUGGCAAAGUCUUUCUGCCCUCUUCCCUGUGCUCUCGGAGGAGGCUGACUCUGUGGUUUGGCCACUUACGGCCUCUAGGCUAUUCUCGGUCAAAUCGUUGUAUUCUAGACUCAUUGGUGGUACUACUUCGGCUCGCUUCUCUUGUAUUUGGAAAUCUAAGGUCCCUCCUAAGAUUAAGAUUUUCCUCUGGCAAGCCUUCCGAGGUCGCCUUCCUUCUGCUGAUCAGAUCAAAAAACGCAAUGGGCCGGGCUCGGAAUUCUGUAACUUGUGUGGGGCUUUGGAAAACUCUAAUCACAUCUUUUUCAACUGUGUUCUUGCCAAAUUAGUUUGGUCUUGCGUAAGAUCAUGGCUUCGGGUCUCCUGGGAUCCCUCCUCUUUCGCAGACACUAGAACCCUAGCCAAAUCUCUGGUAGGGGUCACCAAGAGGGUAUUCUGGGUUGGCUUGUGA